rnacentral:rRNA from 1 species
CCUUAGAGUUUGAUCCUGGCUCAGGAUGAACGCUGGCGGCGUGCUUAACACAUGCAAGUCGAACGGACUUAGAUGAAACCUAGUGAUUCUAAGUUAGUGGCGGACGGGUGAGUAACGCGUGGGUAACCUGCCGUAUACAGGGGGAUAACACUUAGAAAUAGGUGCUAAAACCGCAUAAGCGCACAGCAUCGCAUGAUGCAGUGUGAAAAACUCCGGUGGUAUACGAUGGACCCGCGUCUGAUUAGCUAGUUGGUGAGAUAGCGGCCCACCAAGGCAACGAUCAGUAGCCGGCCUGAGAGGGUGAACGGCCACAUUGGGACUGAGACACGGCCCAAACUCCUACGGGAGGCAGCAGUGGGGAAUAUUGCACAAUGGGGGAAACCCUGAUGCAGCGACGCCGCGUGAGUGAAGAAGUAUUUCGGUAUGUAAAGCUCUAUCAGCAGGAAAGAAAAUGACGGUACCUGACUAAGAAGCCCCGGCUAACUACGUGCCAGCAGCCGCGGUAAUACGUAGGGGGCAAGCGUUAUCCGGAUUUACUGGGUGUAAAGGGAGCGUAGACGGUAGUACAAGUCUGAAGUGAAAUGCGGGGGCUCACCCCCUGAACUGCUUUGGAAACUGUAUUACUAGAGUGCAGGAGAGGGAAGGUGAAUUCCUAGUGUAGCGGUGAAAUGCGUAAAUAUUAGGAAGAACCCCCGGGGGCGAAAGGGGCUUUAUGGGACUGUAACUGACUUGGAGGCUUCGAAGGCGGGGGGGAACAAAACAGGA